AUGAGGGAGGGAACGGCUCCCCGCCUCAGUUUCCCCUCCUGCCGCGGGAGAAACCAGAAGGACCCCAUUCUUCCGUCCCCGGGGAAGUCCCCGCCAGGUGAACGGCGGCAACUAGUCCUCCCACCUCGCCCCCGCGGGACCCCUGCUUCCCGGGGUCCCUGUCCCACACCGCCGCCCCGUGGCGGCCUCGGGGACCGCAGGCGGCGGGCGCCCAGCCGAGGCCCCCCCAGCCGCCGCCCUCCCCGCCGAGCGCCUGCACCCCGAGCGCCCGCCAGCUCCGUGUCCAGGCCUGAGGCCCGCGCCGCCCUCCCUGCGCCCCAAGGCUUCCCACGGCGGUCACGCUCCCCUCCACCAACGCCCCCAGCGGGCGCCUGCACAGGGUGUCAGGUGCUCCGCCGCCACCGCGGGGCAGGACUCGGCCGCGGAGACCUGGCCGGAAGAAAACAAGGCCUUAUCCGGAGCAGAGCAGAUGGGAACAGAGAGAUUUUUCCAACAGAGGCUGACCAGGUUUGGGGGCCUAUGGGUGUGUGCUAAGGGUGGGAAGAGAGUCUUAUUAUCUCUCCCUGCUCUUGGGCAGAGAUAUCCCCAUGCUGGAGUUUUGGGUGCUCUGGGAUCUGGGAGGGCAGCUGUGACCACAGCAAAGGGCCACAUCCCUUGGCACUCAGGGCCCCUGGGGUGAUAGGGGAGCCCAGCAACAUCUCCACGUUCACUCUGGGUCUCUCUGAAUCAGCCCUUACUUUCAAGUCCCGCCUCCUCCAGGCAGCCUUCCUGACUGUACCAGCCAGUAUAGGGAGGGGAAGGAAUGCUCAUUACAUGCCAGGCUUACUAGGUGCCCACUGCUGGGUCUGGCACGGUCACACUUUUCAAAAAUCUAACUUACUCCUCCAAUUCCCCUGGAGGAAGGUAUUUCAUACCAUUUUACAGGUGAGACAAAUGAGGCAGAGAGAGACGAAGUGACUUACCCAAGACCACACAGGGAUCAGUGGUGGGGAUUUAUCUCUAUGAGGACUCUGAACCUCCUUUGUUUUCACCUUAGGACUCUCUCUGAGGGCCCAAUUCCCCCAUAGCAGAGUUCCUGCUGCUCAGACACUCAGCGCAGGGUGACCCUGGCUCACCUGGCCUGCUCUUCUUGUCUCUCUGGGCCUCACUGACCUCAUCUGUGAAAUGGAUGGAUUCUCACCCGUGGCAGUAAGGACGUGAGGGCAUCCCGGGUGUGAGGGCAUCUGCAGCUUCAGUCCUCCAGGACCCCUCCGCCUGGCCUCCCCAGCCAGACCCCUCCAGCUCAGAAGGCCCCACACAAGCUCAGCAUCCUCUGAUCUGCUCCUCUUUCCAGGUACCGUCCAGCCCCAUGACCCCAUCACCUUGGCCGGAAGCCUGAGCUCUCCCAGCCGUCACUGGUCCUCACCCUCCCACCCCCGCCCUCACAGGCACUAAGUCUGAAGCUUCUCCCAGCAAAGUGCUCAGCUGGCUUCUGCUCCCACAAAGCUUCAAGCUCCCCAAGGGGAGCCCACCUCAGUGUCUGAGUUUGGAUUAUAACAAGAAUACCAUGGACUGGGUGGUUUGAACAUCAAAUAUUUAUUUCUCACAGUUCUGGAGGCUGAGAAUCCAAGAUCAAGGUGCCAGCAGAUUCGGGAUCUGGUGAGGCCUGCUUCCUGGUUCACAUCUCCUCCCGGUGUCCUCGCACAGCAGCACAGCAAACAGAGGAGGGAGCUCUCUGGGGUGUCCUUUAUAAGGGCGCUAAUCCUAUGCGUGGUGGUUCCACCCUCAUGACUUAAUCACUUCCAACCACUCCCCCGCCCAGUACCAUCACUGGGGUUAGGAUUUCAACAUAUGAGUUUGGGGGGAUGCAAACAUUCAAUUCACUAGAGUCAAGUCCACUCAGAAAACAGCAGGAGAACAAGUGAACAUCCCAAUAGCAGGUGCUGAUGAGACCGUCCUGGUUCUGUCCGGGACACGCAGGGGUCUUGGAAGAUCUCUUCUCAUUUGGGACAAGGUGCUGGUGGAACAGACUACCCGCUGGGGCCCCACCUUCCUGUCCCCAACUCUGCCCACAUCCAACAUGCUCAGGAGGGUGGGUGUACAUCCAGCCUGGUGGGGACCCCGCGUGGGCUGGGAGGGCUCAUCUCUGUACCAAAGAGGAGAUGGACUCCAGCACAUGGGGCGUGCAGGGCUGAAUGUCUGCAGUGAGUCCACAGAACAAGAGGCUUCAGCCUCACACACAAGCCGAGGGAGGGAGGUGAGAGAGUUCCCAGUCCCACCGGGCACUUCCUCCCGGCCCUCGUCACUUUGGCUGUCACAGCUGUGAGCC
rnacentral:lncRNA from 1 species